AGUUUAGCCUUACGAGAGGGAGAAGUUUCUCCUUAUUCUGAUUCAUUUUCAGAGAAGUCACCCUCUCUCUAAAACUCUCUGCCCUAAAAUCCUCUGCCUUCUCUCUGCAAUUUCAGCUAACUGAACCGUUUGUUUCUUGAUUGGGUGCUGCCAAAUUGCUCUUGGCGUAUAGGGCUUUGAUUUGAACCGAACAUUUCUUCAAUCCACCUAGUACUGUUGAGUUCUUGUCCUGUGAAGGAAAAUGUUAGAAAAUCUUUCACCUAGCUGUGCUGUGAAAACCAGGAUCCAUUCAUUGACUCGCUUUAGACAUUGGCCACGUUUGGAUUUGACCCUUUGUGAUGGAAUACAACCGAGUGGACCUAAGCCAUGGAAAACUAUUUUUCGCGCUCCCAGUUGAUAAAGAUUCUGGUAUAAUCAGUUUCUUUAGUAGUUGAUUGAAAUAUAGAUAGAUGUACGGAUGAUACUGAUUUGAGGAAGUAUUUCUCACUAGAACAUAGUAGUUUGUUCAGAUAUUGUAUUAAAGUUAA